rnacentral:lncRNA from 1 species
AAUCGGAUGAUAGAGGGACAAUUUGACAGAAGGUUCAGAGCAGUACUGAAGAAGUAGCUUCUCUGCUCUUUAGAAGAGUAGUUUGCAUUGAGCCCUCUUUGGAUGAGAUCUGCACUGUGGGCUGCACUCAGCCCUUAAUGCUGAAACUCCCUCAGUCAAAAUUGCCUGUGCCCACCUGUGUGCCUGAGGGAAGCUGCUUCUGUGGACUGCAAGAACAACAUGAUUAAAGGAAAACUGGCUUCUCCUGUGUUUGAAAUCCCAUUCAUAGGUUUCUAUGGAAGCUUUUAACUGCUUAACAAACCUGAGAGUUAGUGGUCAUAAUUAAGUUA